rnacentral:rRNA from 1 species
UACGUAGGGGGCAAGCGUUAUCCGGAUUUACUGGGUGUAAAGGGAGCGUAGACGGUGAUGCAAGUCAGAAGUGAAAGCCCGGGGCUCAACUCCGGGACUGCUUUUGAAACUGUGUGACUGGAGUGCAGGAGAGGUAAGCGGAAUUCCUGGUGUAGCGGUAAAAUGCGUAGAUAUUAGAAGGAACACCAGUGGCGAAGGCGGUUUGCUGGGCCAUUACUGACGCUCAUGCACGAAAGCGUGGGGAGCAAAUAGG